CGCGCUGAGGGAUUCCGGCUAGGGUCCCUCCCCAGGCGGAGGGCCCUGCUGGGCCGGGAAAACUACAAUUCCCGGCAUGCCUCACCUCGGGUGGGCCUACGUAUGGGAGCAACCCCGCUGGCGAGCGGGGUGGUUUAAAGCGCGGUUUUAGGCCCAUGGAACCAAACCUGCUGGCCGCCAGACGGAGCUACAGGCUGGUGGAUGGAUUAGGGAUGCAUAUGGAAACUACAGUGUGCAGACCAGUCCUGUCUCCAACCCAUAUCAACGCGACAGCUUCUGAGACAUUCACAAUACUUCAGCAGAAGAUGAGAAUUGUUGAGGAACAGACCAGUUCUCUGAGAGAUGACCUAAUAAUGCUGGGCUAUGGUGACAAACGAGGUCAAUUGGAAACUUCAAACUAUUUUGAAGACCCUGCCAGACAGAAAGUCAUUAGUCCUAUUUCAAGUGAAGUAAUUUGUCCAGAAAAAGCAGGUAUUUUAUGGAAGAACUGUGAGUUUCUGGUAAAUCGAAUGUGCCAUUUGGAAAACCUCAUCCAGUCCUUGAAGAUGAACAUCUGUCGUCUACAAACUGAACAGGAGUUGAAUCCACAGAAAACAGCUUUUCUGAAGGAUCAGCUGAAUACAAUACAGGAGGAACAUUCCACAGACCUGAAGCUGUUGCGCCUUGAAGUGAUGAACUUGCGCCAGCAACUGAAAGAUGUCAAGGAGGAGGAAGACAAGGCACAAGAUGAAGUGCAAAGACUGGCAGCCACUCUGGAAAUUGCCUCUGAGACAAAGAAGAAUGCAGCUGUUAUUGAGGAGGAGCUAAAGACCGCAAAGCGUAAAAUGAACCUUAAGAUUCAAGAGCUAAGGAGACAACUGGCUCAGGAGAAGCACUUCAGGGAAUCUCUUGAGAAAUCUGCAUCAUCCAUGCUACUCAAAAUACAAGAAAUGGGCUCAACAGUGGAGGCAGAACGGAAGCAGGUGCACACUUUGCAGCAGAACUGCAUUGCCCUACGCAGCUCUAUACAAACCACCCAAGAACUUUUGGCACAGGAGCAGCAAAAGAAUGGAGAGUUGGAGAUGACUGCCUCACAGCUCAAGUCUGAUCUAAUUUCCAGAGAUAACAUCAUCUGCAAGUUGGUUGAAGAGAAUAAGAGUACACAAAUAUCUUUCAACAAGGAACAUGAAGAAAAUAAAUAUUUGAAAUCUGAAAUAAUAUCCCUUCAAGACGCAUCGGAAAAAGCAAAGGUUCUGAAUGACCAGCUUUCCAGAAAGUGUUCAGAACUAACCAACAUGCUUCAAAUUGUUAAAAUGGAAAAUGCCAGGGUUAUUGCUGAACAUCAUGCUAUUCUGCAGGUGGAGCAGAAAAUGAUAACAGAGACAUUUCAAGAGCAGAAUUUACUGUUAGACGCAGCCCAUGCCAGCAUCACCGGUGAACUCCAAACUGUUCAGAAUGAUAGAGCCCAACUCCAGACACACCUAGACCAUUUAAUCCUUGAGCACAGUCAAUGUCUCCAGAAAGCGCAGGAUGCUGAAAAGAGGACAACAGUGCAAAAAGAACUUCUGGAGUCAACUAUUGCACGCCUCCGAGGUGAACUGGAAGCAUCGGUGCAGGAGAAGAAGUCGCUGCUAAAGGAGAAGGAGAGGUUUCAGCAGGAGGUUAGCAAAACAGAAAAAGAAGUAGCCAAAGAAAAAUGCAAUUUGGAAAAGGAAUUAGCUAAAAGCAAGGUAGACAUCAAUGUGUUGAACCAAAACCUGCAGAGUCUCGUGGAAGAAAAUAAGCACCUGACAGAAAAAAUGGCUUCUCUUGAACAUCACAGAGCCACUUCUGACUACCAUGGGUUUGCUCAGCAGAAAGUGGAGAAAGCCUUGGAAAAAAUUACUGAGAGUAAAAAUAAACUAGCCUAUGAAAAGGGGAAACUUCAGAUAAAAGUUAAACAGCUAGAAGAACAGCUCCAUUCGUUUACUGAAACCAGGUUGCAGAACGACCAUCUGCAGAAACUCAACAAGGCUUUAGAGGUCAAACAUGCUCAGGCAAACUCAGAACUGAAUGUCAGCAAGGCAUAUCUGCAACAGACAGAAGCUCACCUGAAAGAGAUGAAAUCCAUUCUUGGGAAAAAUGAGGAAGAGCUGGCCCAAGCUGUGAAGUGUCGAGAUGCUGCCCUGAAAGAGAGCCAGAAGUUGAGAGGGGACCUGGAAGCUUUGGAGGACAGGGAGAGCAAGAAGGUGGGAAACUUUCAGCGGCAGUUAGCAGAGGCUAAAGAAGACAACUGCAAAGUCACAAUCAUGCUGGAAAAUGUGUUGGCAUCUCACAGUAAGAUGCAGGGAGCUCUGGAGAAAGUCCAGAUGGAGCUCGGGCGGAGGGAUUCAGAGAUCGCAGGCCUCAAAAAGGAAAGGUCUCUAAAUCAACAAAGAGUCCAGAAGCUGGAAGCAGAAGUGGACCAGUGGCAGGCCAGGAUGCUGAUUGUGGAGGCUCAGCACAGCAGUGAGAUGGAGCCACUCCAGAAGUCUCUAGAUAUAACUAGAGAGGACAACAGGAAACUGGCCUUGAGCCUAGAGCAGGCUCUCCAGACAAAUGGCCAUCUGCAGUCUAAGCUAGAUCACAUCCAAGACAAACUGGAAAGCAAAGAACUUGAGCGGAAGAAUUUAGAAGCAUUCAAAGAGCGGAUGGCUGAGGAGUCCAAAGUAGAAGCAGAAUUGCAUGCAGAGCGCAUUGAAGCUCUGAGAAAGCAGUUUCAGACGGAGAGAGAGACUGCGAAGAAAGCCACACAGAGGGAAGUUUCUGAGCUGAAGAAAGCUCUUGACGAAGCCAACUUCAGAUCAGUGGAAGUGUCCCGGACAAACCGAGAACUACGACAGAAACUUACGGAGCUGGAAAAAGUAGUGAACAGUAACAAGGAGAAACUAAAGAAUCAAAAGGCUCAAAUAAAGCUGCACUUGUCGACCAAGGCAAAUAAUGUGCAGAAUUUGGAGAGGAUGAAGCAAAUAGAAACAGAAUUGAGGCAAAUGGAGAUAAUUAAGGAUCAAUAUCAGAAAAAGAACUAUGAACAGUCACUGAGUAUCCAGAGAUUUGUAUCUGAAAUGAAUAACUUGCAGAAAGAGAUGGAGCUGUUAGCCAAGAGCCAGUAUGAGACCUCUGCACGGAAUAAACAGCAGGAGCUGAGACUAGCAACUGAGCGGAAACUAAGACAGGAACUGGAAAAUCGGUGUGAGGCAAUUACCAAGCAAGACCAGGACACAGACCUCACCAUGCCAGCCAUCUUUGGAUUCCUCCAGCAAGCUUCGCCAUGGAGCUGGAAUUGUUCUGUCCCAAGCUGUCGCCUCUUUUCACCAGUGCUACUCACCUGUUGUACUUCUGUGGAACACAGAGACUCAGCAGCUGUGGACACCAAACACUGAGUCUGCACAGAAUGGGCAAACACAGUUGGAGGAAGAACUCAAGAAGCCCUAUGCCUCACCCUGGAACUAUUUGCUAUUGGUAAGUUGGAGGUAAGGGGUUAUUGCCUUCAGUUAUUGGCAAUAAUGAGCUAUAAUCACAGUUGCAGUAUCUUAACCAAUUGGGUUAUCUGAGGCAUGAUUGUUGUCAACUAAAAACUUUCCUGUUAUGUAACCACUGGUACUGCACCAAGCUCCAAUGGAUAGUCCCGAGCCAAUGGUUGCACAAAUAUCUCUGGUUAAACUAAAUGGGUAACAAAAUAAGACCAAACUACUAGGAAAGGAACUGGUAGGACGGGGCAGAGUUGCAAGGAAUGGGAGGAUGAAACAAAUAACUAAUUUCAUUUUUAAAAGUGGAAAGCAAUAGAGAAAGACAUCAAAUUCUGGCCUCCAUAUGCAUCCAGGUGUAUACACACACAUCACACACACACACACACACACACACACAGACACACCACACCAUUUAUUCUGGGUAAUACCAUUUAUUCUGACCACUCAACCAGAAGAGUGUCCGCUCUCCCACACACUUUCCCUUGGCUGUUUGAGAACUAACAUUCUUCCUUAAGGCGUCUAUUUUCUAGACUGAGCAUCUUGAUUUCCUUCUAGAAUGCUCUGUUAUUUUAAGAACUCUUCUCCCUAACUGGUAGCUUUUCUCUAGAGUUACCAUCAAGGACCAGGUUAAAAUGAAGAGACUUAUUUUCCUGUCUUCGUAAAAGCUGCCUAAUAUUAGAUUUGAUUUAAAGAAAAAUCAAGAUAUAUUGAAAUGGCUGACAUAAAAACUCCCAAAGCUGCAAUUUCCAAUAAAUGACUGAUAUGCUAGCUAUAAUUUAUGUUUUUACAGUUGAUUUUUAGGCCCAAGUGCAAAUUUCUAAGUCAUGUUUUUAGUUUACUUUCAAACCUGCUCACUCUUGACUCAUUAGUAUUGUUAACUAUUGUGUAUAGUUCUAGUACUUGAACGUAGGGCCUCACACAGUGUAGGCAAGUGCUCUAGCUCAGCUGUUCCUAGUCUAUGAGUUUUCCUGUGUGCAGAUCUGACAUCUCUAAAUGUGGAUGUUAAUGAAAGUGGUGGCCUCAUCAUCUCAAGUUUCUUUGCAGCAGAGCUGAAUAAGCCACACUGCUAACAUCAUCAAGUGGUACGUUCUCACGACUCUGGCUGCUAUACACUUCUCUUGUGAAAAUAAAACAACAGUGUUAAAUGAAAAAGUGGAAUUCAGUUAGAUUUUUGGUACAAUUUACAGAAAAAUUCAAGCUUACUGUGGAAGUCACUGUGGUGGUUUGAAUGUAAUUGGCCUCCAUAGUUUUAUAGGUAGUAGCACUACCUAUAUGGUAAGUGUAGCUUUGUUGGACUGGGUAUGAUCUUGGAGGAAGUGUUGUCACUGUGGGGUUGGGUUUUGAGGUUUUCUGUGCUCUGGAUACCAAUGUCUCAGUUGACUUCCUGUGCCUGCGUAUCAAGAUGUAGCCAGCACCACAUCUGCCUACAUGACAUCAUCAUACUCCCACCACGAUGGUAACGGACUGAACCUCUGAAACUGUAAGUGAGCCACCCCAAUUAAAAGUUUUCCUUAUAAGAGUUGCCGUGAUCAUGGUGUCUCUUCACAGCAAUAAAAACCCUAACUAAGACAGCCAUAGAACUAACAUCAUCAGAAUGAAUUCAGGCAAACUAUGGCUAACAUAAGAAAGAACCAAAAAAACAAACAAACAAACAAACAAAAACAAAAAACUACCAUCUACAGUAACUCAGGGUUAUUUCUUACCGUCUCUUGAUUUGUAAGCCUCUCUCUCAUUUCUCAACAGGAUGGGUUAACUCCUGCCUGGUCACAUGGCACUGCAGUUUCAGCUUAUAGGAGACUAGAGUUCAACUCCCACAUUCCCCAGGAAGAAGUAAAAAGGAAAUUCUUGUUUGGCCCAGAUGACUCUGAAGUUUUAAUUUAUACUACAAUUCACUUAUUUCAAAAUGGAAACAGCAAUGAUCCAAAUGUGCAUCAUAAUGAAAAAGGAUUCGCAAGUGUCUACUAAUCACAGAGCAAUUCCAGUUUCAUGGCCUUUGAAGGCCAACACACACCUAUACUCUGCUCACCCUGGGCUCCUCUCUUCACAAAUCCCACAAAGGGUCUCCUGGCUGACCUAGAGCUUACUAACAUGCAGACCAGGCUGGCCUCACACUCACAGAAAUCCGUCUACCUUUGUUUCCCAGAGCAAACCAGCGCGCUGAGCAGGGGAAGUGCAGAAUUAUAUUCACCAACAUCCAGAAAAGCUUCAGCAACAUCAAGAUAGAGGUCGCCCAUAUCUUCAGGAUUCUGUUCCACCAGUGUUGUCAACAGAGGCUAAACCCCAAAUAAAAGCCAGAGGUCAAACAUUCAUUACAAAUAACCACCUCUCUUUGUCAGCUGCAUGACACAAGCCAAAAGCAGCAAGGACUAACAAAAACAACUUGAUGGUCACUUUUCUGUAUUUCUAUUAAAAAGAUUAAGACUUCCA